UAAUGAUGAAUUUUCUAUCUGGGUUACUACACGGUGUAACGGCCGUGAGUUGUGCUCCCGAUCGUGUUGAAUCUGAAAUGCCAGAGCUCCUGACACCUAUAGCUGCUCCUAAUGAGUGACACUUGAAAGAUCUCGCCGCAUUCAUCAUCUCCUUGACCUUUCCCCAAGAGCGCCGAAGUAUCCAUCUUCAUGCUGACAUUAAUUAUAUCUGAACUGUCAAGAACUGUAUUUUAGAAAGGAUGCGCUAGGUCUCAUUUAGGGCUUUGAAACAGAUGCGUGUUUAAAAUGCACUGCAAGAAAAAUACGACAUCUCGGCGAGUGAACAUAUCUGGAAUGUGGCGGGGCAGCAUGGGAAGCUUUUCAUUUCUGGAAAGAAGCCUGAAAAUGUCUGGGAGACGUGAGUAAACGUAUCGAACGCACGCUGAAUAAUCUUCUAUUUCACUGAUGAUAAUCUCAUAAGGAAAAGAAUAUUAAGAUACAACAGAGGAAUCCAUAUUGAAGAUGCGUUCACUGACUACAUUUUGCAGUGCUCUGUCGUUCUCGCUCGCUUUUAUUGUCUAGUUUACAGAUUUUUUUUUUUUUUUUUUAAUAAACAUGCGUUUGUUUGUUUCUUGUUUGUUUUUGCCAAGGACCGGAUUUUUGGACAUGAGCCACUUCAUGCAGAACGUGCCUCAGCGCCCAGGGUAAAGGAUCAGAUCUAGAGGCUCACAGGCAUAGAGUGCUGGGGUGAACUGGGAUGUUUGGAUGCUGUCUCUCCCCAACUUUCACACAUUCACCCAGGUUUGUUGAUGGUUGAGUGGCUGGCUGCCUUUUGUCCCAGGGCGCCCUCAUGUCUGUGUUGCCUUCUGGCUCUCCCUUUUAUUUAUGCUGUCAUAGCUAGUCUUGCCGGAGUCCCUGCUUGCACUCACGCAAUGUUCAUUGUCCUUAACCAUUACGGGGCAAUAAGCAUGCCUAAUACUCUCUCCCUCUCUCUCUCUUUCUGUUGAGCUACACAUGAUACUCCUGAGAUACCAGUGAUCCUAACCCCUUCUGCUCUCUGGACCUGCCUGAUCCAUCCUGAUGCCCUACUUCUGGUUGGAGUUCUCAUCAUUUGGAAGUUACAUGCUGC
ensembl:lncRNA